UAGUAAUGAAUGGAAUUCUUUUUUAAGCCCUGCUUUUGGAGUCUAUUUCAUGCCUUUUUACAUUUCAUAUUAUAUUUAUAUUUUUUUAAAUCAUGACUAUACCACAUUAUAAAAACCUAUUCAGUCAAAUAAUAAUCCUAUUCCUUGGCUGCCCGUCAGGGAAAUGAAGGUUUCUCAAAGAGUGAUUUGCCCAAGGCCAGCAAAGGCUGAAUAUCAGAGAAGGAUGAUCCCAAAGGUAGACCCAGCUUAAUGAGGACAGACGUCUGUUGGGGCUUCAUUUUGGAGAGGCCCUUCAGGGUAAGAAGUGACAACUGCUUUGUGAAGUGGCAUGCCACCAACACUCACAAAUCACAUGCAAGAGUGACACUCCUGACCUCAAGUCACCAGCUGAUCAGAUUCAGGGGCAAGACAAGGGCACAGAUCUUCUGAGGCUGAAAAACCAUCUGUUCACCCCAUCUGGGAGGAGCCCCAAGCCCUUAAUGAUCACAUGUGGGCAGCUCCAGAGACCAAAAGAGGGGACAGAUCCAGAUCUGAAGGGGGCACAGAAUGAGUUAUCAGUCAGAAGCAAAGAGUGGGAGAUGAAGGGAACAUGCUGAGUGUCUAUCGCCAGCCUGGAUUCUCAUGCCAGGGCCACAGAGGUCCUGAUACCAGAAGCUGGGAUGAGCUUGCAGGUUGUGUAUGAAGUUACUGCUUGAUGCCACCAAGCACUGAAACAGGCAAGUAAGAGGGGGAGCCUGUAAAGAUGGAAAUGCGGCAUCUCCCAACCCCCAUCCCACUUUCAGAAGUUUUAACAGAUGUCCUUUCCACUUUUUUCUUGGGAAUGCCUCAGGAUUCUUAAUUUUCUCGAAUGGGCAACUUUCCCCACCACCUACGUGUUCUUUCUGGAUUCCAAUCUGCUGCUUCUCCGUGGGGUUCUUUCUGUUCUUUUUUUUCUCUUGCUGACCUUUGUCCUCCCAAAUGUUAUCACUCAGAGAAGUCCCCCUCCACAAACUUCCCCACUUCAGUGUGCUCUGCCCCCAGGCCCUGGGCUAAGCACCAGAUGCGGAACACUGACCAAGAUGAAAAACAGUCCCAGGCCAACCUGACUCACAGCGUCAGGCAUUAAACAAGAAGCCUCACUGCUCCCAUCAGCAACACCUUCUGGCCCCCGAUUUUACUGUCUCUGUUGUUUACCUUGCCCUGAUCUAACAGACUUAAAGGUAUAGGUUGCUGGGGCUGGCAGGGCCUGAGAGGUCAAAGCCCUAUUUGUGCCCAGGGCUGGCUGGCAUUUGAUGGGGUGGCACCGGUAGGGUCCCAUUGGUUGCUUACAGUCAGCUCUGCUUACCCAGCCCAGUGCUGUAACAGCUUCCGUCUGAACACCCCUCCUGCUGGCUUCACCAUGAAGGAGAUCAACCAACCAAAGCCUGAGAUCAUGAGACAGCCAUGCCCAGAGCCAGACCCCUCCAUGCUUUUCCCACUUCUGGUGUCUUCAGGGCCCUAGCUCCCUCAGAGCUCUUGGGGAAUGAAAAGUUUUGCCCAACUGAAGGAUGUUCCUUUGCUGAUGCUCGGAGGCUUCCCUUCCUUUUUGUGGCCUUGUUCCUACAACCAAGGCAAAUCCAAUCAGCAGUACCAUCCUUGUUGCAUCUUGUUCUCUUUGUGGGGGGCUUCCUGGCUUCUGGGCUGCUCUCCAUCUGGUUCCAAAGUCCCAAGCCUUCAGAGAGAGCAGUCAUACUGCCUGAAGUUUAAAUCAACUGUGCAAUUUGCUCUCUAGAACCCAGUUCUGCAGAUACUCUGUAUAGCCUUUCCUUCCUCCUCGCAUAUGAGAAACCCAUGGUUUUGUGACUGUGAUCUCUCUGCCCUCUCUUCCAGAUAUUUCUGGAGUCCAUUUCCAGCUGCCAGCUAGCCCUUUGUCCACUUCCCGGCAUGUGCUCAGUCAAUACAAUGAAGACGAUGAGCCGACAGUGCACGUGGUGGCGACCGUGUUGCCCCGGAUUGCUCUGGACUCCGUCUUCCUUCACACACUUCCCUCUUCAUUACCCUCAGCAUUUGAACUGCCUCCUUGAAGAGAAGGGCGAGGAAACUUAACUUUAUGAACCAGACACUAAGAUGCAUCUUUUCAACAAGAAAAUAGAGUAGCUGUUUCCCUAUAUCAAAAGCAUCAACUAUCCAGGCAACAUCUUCUUCUCUCUGCUCUAUAUGUUAUGUCUUCUCUAACAAAAGCAGUUAUUGUUUCAUGUUCUCAGACCUAAGGUGGAGAAAACUGAAGAGACAGAACUUCAGAUCCUGUCAUUUCUCAGAAGCCAUGAGUCAGAGAUGGAAGAACCAGCAAAGAGCUCUGAACCGUAGACUGAAUUUCACACGUACAUUUAUACAUGGCCCAGUUCUAACUGUCUCUAGAUAUUUCUUGGGUAGAACUAUCUAUACAAGACAACAGCUAACUGCAGAGCUCAUCAAAAUCAGGCAUUGUGCCUUUCAUUUCAUAUGCAUCCAUGGUUGUACCCGGUAAGACACUGAUGUUACAAA